GAUGAAGAACGUAGCGAACUGCGAUAAGUAAUAUGAAUUGCAGAAUUUUGUGAAUCAUCGAAUCUUUGAACGCAAAUGGCACUCUCUGGUAUUCCGGGGAGUAUGCUUGUUUGAGGGUCAGUAAAAUAAAUCACGGAAUAUUUCUGUGGAAUUGGGCGUUUCAGGGAACCGUUUCCGUUUUGAUCGCCUAAAAAUGAAAUUGAGUUCAUCCGAUGUGAACUAAUCGCAUGGAUCGCAGACGAUGAACGGCAAUCCUUGAGCAUUACGGAUCGUUUGUUUUCGCGGAUGAUUCGUAUGUUAUCCUAUCCAAUGACCUCAAAUCAAGUAAGAUUACCCGCUGAACUUAAGCAUAUCAAUAAGCGGAGGA
rnacentral:misc_RNA from 1 species